rnacentral:rRNA from 1 species
ACCCGCUGGACUUAAGCAUAUCACUAAGCGGAGGAAAAGAAACUAACUAGGAUUCCCCCAGUAACUGCGAGUGAAGAGGGAAGAGCUCAUCAUUGGAAUCUGGCAGUGUUGCACUGUCCGAGUUGUAGAUGAGGAGUAGUCCGUCUGGACUGCAUGGCGUCCAAGUACAAUAGGCCGUCAGUGGGACAUCAUAGAGGGUGACAAUCCCGUCCUUGACGCCAAUGUGCAAGUCUAUUACGAUGGCUAUCUCAGAGAGUCGAGCAGUUUGGGAUUUGCUGCUUAAACAUGGGAGGUAGAUUCCUUCUAAAGCUAAAUACAGGCGAGAGACCGAUAGAGAACAAGUACCGCAAGGGAAAGAUGAAAUAGCACUCUGUGAAGGGAGUCAAAAGGCGUGAAAUUGUUGCGAGAGAAGCGAUUCAAGUCAGCGUAGCUAGGCCCAUCAAGCGUCUUCGCUUUGGACUAGCUUUGCCAGCGGUCUUGUCCCUUAAAGAGACUUGACUUGUAAUAUGUCCAGCCUGGCGUGCACAGGCAGCCCCUUCUGGGGGCCAGUGGCAUGGCUGGUGGAAUGGCUUGCAAUCGACCCGUCUUGAAACACGGACCAAGGAGUCUAACAUGUAUGCGAGUAUAAGGGUGGCAAACCCGUAUGCGCAAUGAAAGUGAUUUUCGGUGAUUGAGAAUGGCCUGAUGACCAGACAAGCAAUAUAUGUCCCUCGUACGGCCAUUGCCCAAGUUCCGUGGUAGAUCCCACGAACAUGGAGUUGGAGCAUACAUGCUAGGACCCGAAAGAUGGUGAACUAUGCCUGGACAAAGCGAAGCCAAAGGAAACUCUGGUGGAGGCUUGUAGCGAUUCUGACGUGCAAAUCGAUCGUCUGAUCUGGGUAUAGGGGCGAAAGACUAAUCGAACCAUCUCAUAGCUGGUUCCUGCCGAAGUUUCCCUCAGGAUAGCAGAGACCUAGUGGAAGUUGCAUGUGGUAAAGCGAAUGAUUAUUGAUCCUGGGGCUCAAAUGGGCCUCAGUCUAUUCUCAAACUGUGAAUGCGUGCGGUUGGACUGUGCUUAUCAAUAGAAGCCCUGCCAGCAAUGCUUCAGUCUCUAGUGGGCCGUUUCUGGUAAGCAGAACUGGCGAUGCGGGAUGAACCGAAAGUGAGGUUAAAGUGCCAGAAUGCACACUAACCAGAGAUAAAAGGUGUAUGUGCAUGGACACAGCAGGGCAGUGGCCAUGGAGGUUGGCAUCUGCUAAGGAGUGUGUAACAACUCACCUGCCUAAUGUACUUGCCCUGAAAAUGGAUGGCGCUCAAGUGUGUUACUCAUACCUCGCCAUCAGUCUCCAGUGAUAACGGACUGAUGUGUAGGCAGGCGUGAAGGUCAAUCUUCGAAGCCUAGGAAGUGAUUCCAGGUGGAGAGGCCUUUAGUGCAGAUCUUGGUGGUAGUAGCAAAUAUUCAUAGUGGAAACCUUGGAGACUGAAGUGGAGAAGGGUUCCAUGGGCACCG